GCCUCCGUAGCUCAGUUGGUAGAGCACUUCACUCGUAAUGAAGGGGUCAGCGGUUCAAGUCCGCUCGGAGGCU
rnacentral:tRNA from 1 species